UACGUAGGGUGCAAGCGUUGUCCGGAAUUAUUGGGCGUAAAGAGCUCGUAGGCGGUCUGUCGCGUCGGCUGUGAAAACCCGGGGCUCAACCCCGGGCCUGCAGUCGAUACGGGCAGACUAGAGUGCGGUAGGGGAGACUGGAAUUCCUGGUGUAGCGGUGAAAUGCGCAGAUAUCAGGAGGAACACCGGUGGCGAAGGCGGGUCCCUGGGCCGUAACUGACGCUGAGGAGCGAAAGCGUGGGGAGCGAACAGG
rnacentral:rRNA from 1 species